rnacentral:rRNA from 1 species
AUAAACCCGGGAAACUGGGUAUAAUACCCGAUAGAUCUUGGCUGCUGGAAUGCAUCGAGCUCUAAAGCUCCGGCGCCUGAGGAUGGGUCUGCGGCCUAUCAGGUAGUAGUGGGUGUAGCGUACCUACUAGCCUACGACGGGUACGGGUUGUGGGAGCAAGAGCCCGGAGAUGGAUUCUGAGACACGAAUCCAGGCCCUACGGGGCGCAGCAGGCGCGAAAACUUUACAAUGCGGGAAACCGUGAUAAGGGAACUCCGAGUGCCCGUAAAAUCGGGCUGUCCAUCUGUUUAAAUAACAGGUGAAGAAAGGGCCGGGCAAGACCGGUGCCAGCCGCCGCGGUAAUACCGGCGGCUCGAGUGGUGGCCACUAUUACUGGGCUUAAAGCGUUCGUAGCUGGUCUGUUAAGUCUCUGGGGAAAUCUACUGGCUUAACCAAUAGGCGUCUCAGGGAUACUGGCAGACUAGGGACCGGGAGAGGUGAGAGGUACUCCAGGGGUAGGAGUGAAAUCCUGUAAUCCUUGGGGGACCACCUGUGGCGAAGGCGUCUCACCAGAACGGCUCCGACAGUGAGGGACGAAAGCUGGGGGAGCAAACCGGAUUAGAUACCCGGGUAGUCCCAGCCGUAAACGAUGCGCGUUAGGUGUAUCGGUGACCACGAGUCACCGACGUGCCGAAGAGAAAUCGUGAAACGUGCCGCCUGGGAAGU